rnacentral:rRNA from 1 species
UACGGGGGGAGCAAGCGUUGUUCGGAUUUACUGGGCGUAAAGGGCGCGUAGGCGGCCAGCGCAAGUCAGUUGUGAAAUCUCCGAGCUUAACUCGGAAAGGUCAACUGAUACUGCGCGGCUAGAGUGCAGAAGGGGCAACUGGAAUUCUCGGUGUAGCGGUGAAAUGCGUAGAUAUCGAGGGGAACACCUGCGGCGAAGGCGGGUUGCUGGGCCGACACUGACGCUGAGGCGCGAAAGCCAGGGGAGCGAACGGG